ACGUUCUUUCUACUGCAGUCGACCACAGACAGACAGAGACACCAAUGGAGAGGCACAUCAGACAACAACUUGUCAUUGAAGUUAGAAUCAUACAGCAGAUAUUAGUCUGUUAGAAAGGUAAUCAUACAGUAGAAGUAAGUUAAUACUAUAAGUAAAAGUAAAAAUCAUAUAUAUUACAAUAAAAGGUCAGACAGUCUGAAUUAGUUGAUUAAUUGAUUGGGGUCAUCAUUGAUAUUCGGUACGGUUAGAUAAGAUGGCCGACUACGUCAACAAACAGAUGAUUGAAUUAAAAGAAGUUAAUCAAGAAAACCAGAAUAGAGCAACGAGGAGCGUGAAGACUAAGACCCAUCUCUCAGAUGGAAGACUAAGACUCUACAGGCUGGCUGCUGUGUGUUUAGGAGUGCUGUGUGUUCUACAAGUCACUCUCAACAUCUCCCUGAGGCUGGCUUUCUAUAACAGAGGCAAUGUGACUACAGAGAAAGACCUGCUACAGACCAGUUACAACACACUGACUGAAGAGAGAGACCAGCUACAGACCAGUUACAACACCCUGACUGAAGA